rnacentral:sRNA from 1 species
AGGCUCGCAUGUCUUGGGAUAGAGAGUCGACAGAAAUUCGGUACCGUAGACUUCAACAUUUGCUUGAAAAAAGCAAUAUCUACUCCAAAUUUUUAUUGACGAAAAUGGAACAGCAACAAUUAGAGGAACAGAAGAAGAAAGAAAAAUUGGAGAGAAAAAAGGAGUCUUUAAAAGUUAAAAAGGGUAAAAAUUCAAUUGAUGCAAGUGAAGAGAAGCCAGUUAUGAGGAAAAAAAGAGGAAGAGAAGAUGAAUCAUACAAUAUUUCAGAGGUCAUGUCAAAAGAGGAAUGCAAACUCAGAUGUCUAUCCACAGAGGCCUAAAGUGGGCUGUAACAUGGUUUGGCAAACUUUUUCUGUAAAUAGCCAGAUAGUAAAUAUUUUUAGCUUUUGAGUAGUUUUGUGGGCAGCUACUCAACCCUGUACUCUGCUGUUGUUGCUUGAAAGCAGCCAUAGACAAACCGUAAACAAGUGAGGCUGACUUUGUUCCAAUUUAUCCCAUUUCUUUGCUUUUAAAAAAAUACCUAUGUAUUCGCUUAGCUGGAGUUGGUCUACAGGCUGUAGUUUGCUGACCCCAGGACUAGAGGUUUGUUGCCAUGUGUGAAUUUGUACUUAAUCUACUCAGAUUAAAAGAAAGAAAAGCUGGAAAAUCACUGUAUUUGAUGAAAUAUCCCAUUGUAUAAGUGUUCCCAAAUUAGCCUAGAAUGUUAUGAAAUAUUAUGAGCCAGUAAUGUCUAUAGGCUUAUUUCUGCCUGAAGGCUACUAGUUUUAUCUUGAGACUC